ACGAACGCUGGCGGCGUGCUUAACACAUGCAAGUCGAACGGAAAGGCCCUGCUUGCAGGGUACUCGAGUGGCGAACGGGUGAGUAACACGUGGGUGAUCUGCCCUGCACUUCGGGAUAAGCCUGGGAAACUGGGUCUAAUACCGGAUAGGAGCCAUUUUUAGUGUGAUGGUUGGAAAGUUUUUUCGGUGUAGGAUGAGCUCGCGGCCUAUCAGCUUGUUGGUGGGGUAAUGGCCUACCAAGGCGGCGACGGGUAGCCGGCCUGAGAGGGUGGACGGCCACAUUGGGACUGAGAUACGGCCCAGACUCCUACGGGAGGCAGCAGCGGGGAAUAUUGCACAAUGGGCGCAAGCCUGAUGCAGCGACGCCGCGUGGGGGAUGACGGCCUUCGGGUUGUAAACUCCUUUCGCUAGGGACGAAGCUUUUUGUGACGGUACCUAGAUAAGAAGCACCGGCUAACUACGUG
rnacentral:rRNA from 1 species